GCCAGGUGUGGUGGCACAUACCUGUAAUCCUAGCUACUCCGGAGGCUGAGACAGGAGAAUCACUUGAACCCGGGAGGUAGAGGCCGCAGUGAGCCAAGAUCAUGAUCAUGUCACUGCAGUCCAGCCUGGGUGACAGAGUGAGAUUCUGUCUCAA
ensembl:misc_RNA Metazoa_SRP Metazoan signal recognition particle RNA